UACGUAGGGUGCGAGCGUUAAUCGGAAUUACUGGGCGUAAAGCGUGCGCAGGCGGUCUGUUACGUCUGCUGUGAAAACCCAGGGCUUAACCCUGGGCUUGCAGUGGAUACGGGCAGACUAGAGGCAGGUAGGGGAGAAUGGAAUUCCCGGUGUAGCGGUGAAAUGCGCAGAUAUCGGGAGGAACACCGGUGGCGAAGGCGGUUCUCUGGGCCUGACCUGACGCUGAGGAGCGAAAGCGUGGGGAGCGAACAGG
rnacentral:rRNA from 1 species